UCAAAAGUUUUUCACACUUCUCCCCUGGAUGAAGAAAAUCGCAAUAAGUGGAUUCAGAGUAGUAGAUGUAAGGAUUUUAACAUCACUUUUGAUACUACAGUCUGCAGGCGCCACUUACGGUAACGACAACAUACGGUUCUACACUAGAUUUGAGAUUUUUGGAGAGUUAUUGAACCUGCAUUCCACAUGGUUUGUGUGACCAGAGCGAGGACAGCUACAACGAGGAGAGAAGUUGGAAUAACAAGCAAUGCAAUGUGUCAGUCUCUGCAGCCCUUCGAUGAGUUCCUCCUCUUCAUGGUCCACCUUUCAGUCAGUCUUCCACAGAGAGAUCUGGCCUUACACAAAACACUUGGGAUGGAUUAAUUUGGUUUUAUUUGUACAGACUAGAAUAUUAAAUAUAAUGUAAAUGCAAAUAUAUAUAACUUUAAUACAGUUUCUUGCUCACUAGUGUAAUCUAAACAUGUAAAUAUAAACACGUACAUUUUAGAAACUUUGAUACAGUGUAAUAGUUAUUUAAAAUACUAAUAACUGUGAUAGUGUAAUGCUAUGGUUUUUUAACACUUCUGCCACUUGGAGGACUGAUAGGCCAAGCAGAUCACUGUGACGCCACUGUAAACAUUCUCCUGAGAUGAAAAACAAAGGGCUAAUCAUAUAGGCAUGUUAUACAUUAUGAAUAUAGCAAGAUAUGAA